GCGUCGGUAGUGAAACGGCUCAGCACACGCUCUCCGAAAGAGUGAGAUCUGGGUUCGAAUUCCGGCUGAUGCA